AAGUCAUCUUGAGACCGGUUUAAAUCGGGCCCCCGAAGAAGAUAUUAUUAUAUGGCUCACGCUCUAUCAUCCGCCCUCCCAGUGCUUCGAUCUUCCUGUUCCACAUCCAUGGCCGCUUCCUCCUCAGCUCUGCUUCUUCCCUCAGGUCCAUGCCUUUUCAAGAGAUUGUGGUGUAAUCUUCAUAUUAAACCUCCUAAAGUUCAUUGCUUAGAUUUGGACCUCGGACAGAGAAUAAGAAUGGAAAUGAAUGAGGAUAUUACCUUGUCACGGCGGAGUGCAAUUGGGUCAAUGUUUGCUUUGACUACUUUUGGAUUAAUCAGUGCAAACUCCUACGGAGCUGGAUUGCCUGGGGAGGAAAAGCCAAGAUUGUGUGAUGAUGAAUGUGAAAAGGAGCUUGAAAAUGUACCUAUGGUGACUACAGAAUCUGGUCUUCAAUACAAGGAUAUCAAAAUUGGUGAAGGUCCGAGCCCACCCAUUGGUUUUCAGUAACUCAAUAAAGAGAUGAUGAAAUUAGGCCAGACCUUAUUUUCAUGGCUCCUUGUUCGCAAGACAAAUGCUUAGGGAGCUAAUAUGUUAGUUGGCAAAGAGGAGAAACAUCUGCUCCUUGGAGAAAGGCAUACCCUAUAUUUUCCGUGUGGGAGCUGGACAGGUGAUCAAGGGACUCGAUGAAGGAAUAUUGGGAAUGAAAGUUGGAGGAAAACGUCGACUUUAUAUUCCGGGGCCUUUAGCAUUCCCCAAGGGCCUAAAUUCAGCACCAGGAAGGCCAAGAGUAGCUCCCAGCAGUCCUGUAAUUUUCGAUGUCAUUUUGGAGUAUGUUCCAGGCCUAGACAAUGAGUAAACAUUGUGCUUCCAGUUCGAUCCACUUGUUCAGAGGAGUUAAAGAAAUGAGCUUGGAGAGCUUAAAUUUUUUUAAUCUGUAAGUUAUAUAAAGAUAUAAAAUAUGUGGGAAUGUUUCUUUCUCAUUUAAAUAUCCUACAAUUCUUCAUCUUUUUAUUCAGAUUGAAUUCUGAUUUAUUCUUUGUAACUAGUUAAAAUUUAUGAUGUAUCCCCCAAAUUUAAGCUUUGGCUACUACAAAUUUUCAUGCAGCUUUAUUAAUCAUAAA